rnacentral:rRNA from 1 species
GACGAACGCUGGCGGCGUGCCUAAUACAUGCAAGUAGAACGCACAGUUUAUACCUUGGCUCGCUACACCAUAGACUGUGAGUUGCGAACCGCUGAGUAACGCGUAGGUAACCUGCCUGGUAGCGGGGGAUAACUAUAGGUAAUGAUACCUAAUACUGCAUGAUAUUAAUUAUUGCAUGAUAAUUUAUUGUAAGGUGCAAUUGAACCACUACCACAUGGACCUGGCUUGUAUUAGCCAGGAGGGGUGGUAACGGCACCCCUAGGGGACGAUACAUAGCCGACCAGAGAGGGGGAUCGGCCACACUGGGACUGGGGCACGGCCCAGAAUCCUACGGGAGGCAGCAGUAGGGAAUCUUCGGCAAUGGACGAAAGUCUGACCGAGCAACGCCGCGUGAGUGAAGAAGGUUUUCGGGUCGUAAAGCUCUGUUGUAAGAGAAGAACGGGUGUGAGAGUGGAAAGUUCACACUGUGACGGUAUCUUACCAGAAAGGGACGGCUAACUACGUG